rnacentral:tRNA from 1 species
AAAGGGAGACCUAAUUCGGGUAGGAGACGAAAAAAAAGUAGUCCCUACCAAGAAUCAAUCCCAAAAGGUCGGAGCGAGGCGAAAUUGGCUUUCAAACUAGGUUCUGGGUUCACACAAGACCUGAAUCAGGAACAAGGGCUAUUAGCUCAGGUGGUUAGAGCGCACCCCUGAUAAGGGUGAGGUCCCUGGUUCGAGUCCAGGAUGGCCCACCUGCACAGGUGGCAAAAACAAAAAAGCUCCGAAUCAGCACCUUAUCUUACUUAUAUAGUAAGAGAGAAUGCUGGCUCUGAGUUCAGAGUCCAGAGGAACCUUGAAAACUGCAUAGAGCUAGGUGAAAAAGCCAAAAAAGAAGACCGCAAG